AUUGUCAAGAGUUCUGGGCUGCUGUUUCUGAAGUGUGUUGCAAGGAUUCCAUUGGCUUCUGUCUUCCCUACAACAGCACCCCUGGUGUCCCUUCCACUAGUGCAUAUAUUGUUUUGGCUGCCCAGCAGAUAUAGAUUCUUCAGAGAACAAAAGUUACUGGUGUUCUACCUCACUUGUGGGACUCCUCCUUCCCUGAUAUAGUAGUUGGCACGAAUUCAUGUUCCUGGGUUCUGCCAUGUUACCACCAGCCCCACUGUACCAAGCUCUAGAUUAAGGAGUUGAGGGAAAGAAACCUUCUCUGUUCAGUUGUCGAUGGUGGUGGUGUCAACUGGAGUCUGGAGAUAUUUUAAUAGACAACUACAGCACUCAUCUUUUCUGGGUUGGCCCUUUAAGUAAAAGCUGUGAGUAGAAAUGAAAUGUUGCUGUAGAUAACUUAAUUGACUUUUACCAUUGCCUGCUUCCUCACCGCCUUCGAAGUACUCCAGGUUUCAGGGGAAAGGAGAAACUUCUCAUCAAUUUAUUGGAUACUGCCCUAGACCUUUAAAGCCCACGACAUCAGAGGUAGAUGUUCCAGUUGAAGCUGAACCAUCCUGCCAAUAUUCCCUUACAUUUUGUUGCUGUGUGACAGAUGGCAGCAGAGGGGCACUCUGACAAGAUGACAUCUGACAUGGAAGUGUGUGUGGAGCAAAGGUACCCCAUUGCUCAAGGAAAUUCAAGACCUGCCGUAAUUCUACAUCCUUGCUUGUUCGUGCACAUGUGAAUGUUUGAUUUUGCACUGCCCUACCUUGCUUUCCUGUUCUCCUAGUCUUGGUCAAAGACAUUGCAAGCAAACUCCAUUAGUGUUUAUCAGAAAUCACCUGGAACCAAGCAGCCUAUUCUGCUGUGUAUCUGGGUUAUGAACAGCCUGCAACAAUGAGCUCCCAAUUCCUUGCACUGCCUGUGCCGGGAGGUAUUGUAGCCUCUGUGUCUGCCAAAAGCCUUAGCUGUUACAGUCUUGCUGAGUUUUCUUGUUCAACAAUAACAGGAUAGGGAAAUAAAAACAAACAAACAGUAUUAAAGAAAUACCUGUAGUAGAAAACUGUUAUUGGAAUGGAGUUUUUCCUUUACAUUGUUUCCAUGAAUCUGGGAUAGUGAAGAGAAUGAUAUUAACAGCAGUAUAUACCACGAGCAUUACACAGAAUUCAUGAAACAGCACUGGAAAUGAAUUGCUAGUUAAAGGAACGUUUCUGAUGGUUUGGAUUAGAUUAAAACGGAAAUCAAGGUGUAUUUGUCAGAGUUGAAUUUGAGGCUUCUCAGAAGCUUUUUGACAGCAUUCUUUUCUGAGCUGUUUCUGUGAAUGACAUUCUUUAAACCCAAAUGAAAGUAUUUUGAGCUUAUGUGAGACAUUCGUAGCAUUAGUGGUACAGAGUAUUGUGAAUUUAAGCAGCUGUUUUGCGAAGUUAAAGAACUUGGCUAUUUCCCAAUACUUUUUUCACAGAGUUGAUGAGCUCAGCAUACCUUAUGGAUGGACUUCCAGCGAUAUUAAAUUUUGAUCCUUUUUAUUUUCCUUCUGUAAAUUAAGCCCAAUAAAAAUGUUUGAAACUG
rnacentral:lncRNA from 1 species